ACAUGCAAGUCGAACGAGAAAGUUUCCUUCGGGAAACCAGUAAAGUGGCGCAAGGGUGAGUAACACGUGAAUAAUCUGCCUACGAAUUCGGGAUAACUCGACGAAAGUUGCGCUAAUACCUUAUACGGCCUUAGGGCGAAAGAUUUAUCGCUGUUGGAUGAACCCGCGUAGGAUUAGCUAGUUGGUGAGGUAAAAGCUCACCAAGGCUCCGAUCCUUAGCUGGUCUGAGAGGAUGAUCAGCCACACUGGGACUGAGACACGGCCCAGACUCC
rnacentral:rRNA from 1 species